rnacentral:rRNA from 2 species
UUCGCAAUGCCCGAAAGGGUGACGAAGCGACGCCGCGUGCGGGAAGAAGGCCUUCGGGUUGUAAACCGCUGUCGGGAGUUAGGAAAUGCAAGGAUGUUAAUAGCGUCUUUGCUUGACUAAGGCUCCGGAGGAAGCCACGGCUAACUCUGUGCCAGCAGCCGCGGUAAUACAGAGGCGGCAAGCGUUGUUCGGAAUUAUUGGGCGUAAAGAGCACGUAGGCGGCUAUGUAAGUCGGUUGUGAAAGCCUUCCGCUCAACGGGAGAACAGCAUCCGAUACUGCAUGGCUUGAGUGCGGGAGGGGAGAGUGGAACUUCUGGUGGAGCGGUGAAAUGCGUAGAUAUCAGAAGGAACGCCGGCGGCGAAAGCGGCUCUCUGGCCCAUAACUGACGCUGAGUGUGCGAAAGCUAGGGGAGCAAACGGGAUUAGAUACCCCGGUAGUCCUAGCCGUAAACGAUGGGCACUAAGUAGAGGGGUUUU